rnacentral:lncRNA from 1 species
GGAGGAGUUGGGGCCGCGCUUCUUGCCGAAGCCGACGACGGCGGUGACGAAGCGGCGGUUGUACUGGAUCCUCUUGUGUGCGCGGCCGCGGGGCUGCUUCUUCUUGUCCUGCUUCGCCACCUUGGGCGUCUGCCCGCGCACCUUCCCGGCACGGGCCAGCGAUCCGUGCACCUUACCUGCGCAAACAGCGGCGGGCUCGCGUCAGGAUCCGAAUAAGCUAGGGCGGUGGAAGGGGGCAGAGGGGGGAUGGCGGUCAGAGGGGUUACCCAUGUCGACGGCGGCGGUGGGGCUGCGGAACGGCGGCGGUGUAGGAGGUCUUGAGGGCGGGUGCGCGAGGGUUGGGGGCGGCGGCGGUUGUGGAGGGAGAAGGGGAACCCUAGGUGGGGGUGGGGGAUUUUAUAUAGCAGGGCUCUUUGGGUCGGCGCAGACCGUUUGUGGACUGGGUAUCAUUGGGCUGAGGGGACUGACUAUUUGAUAUGAGCCUAGGUGUCGUUACACGUGCGUUAGUAGUUUGGGCUCCAGCUACCCGUACUGUGGGCUGUAAGGCUUAGCCUGGCUAUCCUUAAUGUUACCCGUAAACCAAAGUGGCCCAUAGUGACUCGUUAGCAAACAUGUGUGCAUUCUGCAUUCACUCUCUCAAAAAAAAUGUGGAGUCUGCAAUCUUUGAACAAAAAAAUGCCUGGAUUCUGUCAAUAGAAACAAGAGCAGCCCUUAUCACAUCGAUUUCUACCUUAGUCUUUUUAAUGUUACAUUUACAUUUUUACUAACUAGCAAAAGGGUCCGUGCGUUGCAACGGGAGAAAAACAAUUAUCCAAUGAUGCUGAUCAUAUUAUGUAUUUAAAAUAAUAGGACAUUUCUUGAAAUACUUGAACAUUGUUUGAAUUAGCAAACAUUUUUUUCAAUUGCAGUAAAAAAAACACAAACUUUGUUUUUCAAAAUCAUGAAAUUUUAUUAUUUUCACCAACAUUGUACCCCAUAUAAAGAAAGGUAUUAAUUAAGGACGUAAACAUUAUUUUUGGAAAUAAUUAACAUGAAAGAUAAGAUUAUAUUUGAAAUCUACAUAUUUUUUAAAUUAUUUCGUAUAUAACUUUUGAAAUUUGAAGUUAGAGUUUAGAAGAUAUGAAUAUAUGAAUGUAUUUGAAUCUGCAAAAAAUAGAAACAUUAAAAAGAAAAUAGUUGGGCCAAAGUUCUUGAAACGCCUCAUAUAAAAAAAGUACUGUAUUAACUAAGGAUGCAAACACAAUUUCAGAAAUAAUUAUCAUGAAAGAUAAUAUUACAUUUGAAGUCUAUAUAUUUUUAAAGCUAUUUAAUAUAUAACUUCUGAAAUUUAGAGUUAGAAUUUAAAAGAUAUAAAUAUUUAAAUAUAUAUUUGAAUCUGCAAAAAUAGAAACAUUAAAAAAAUGAACAGAAGUUGCAACAGUGCAACUCUAAUGUACGCCAGCCUGAUAUCAGUAGAAAUAAGGAACACAGAAAUUCGGUGAUGGGGGGGUCGAACCUGGGUCUCCUGAGUGAAAGUGCAAAGCUCCAGCCACUCGGGCUACUGCAAAUCUUGUGGGUUUAAAGGGGCCGAUUUCUAGAUGAACCAUACAAAGUGGGCCGCGAAUACAGCAAGUAACGGACGACAGAAGCAAUACGCUCUUUAUUAGUAGGUAAGAUUUGUGGUAAGUUGUUUUUUAUUUGGAGUUAGAUCGGAUUGUCGGCCACCGAUCGUUGCAUGUAUCUUAGCGACAUCUGUCUUUGGUUUUGUUUGGACGGGGAAGGUUUUGAUUAUCUGGGAUUUACCGGGUUUGGUAAAUCGACCCACUCGCGGGAGCAACGUCUCCAUCUACUGAGGGAUGGCCCUCGGCAGGAGGGUCAGCAGUCGUCGCUCACGAGGUUGCUAAGCCGAUUUCUGCCCCUUCCCCCUACUUAGUCUUUAUUCUUUUCGUCUAUCCAUGUCUACGGCGAAGGUGAGGAUGUAGAGUGUUUGUGGCAAUAAAGGUUUGAGGGGUGAGCACGCGAAGGUCUAUGGUGGCAACAAUUGUCGUGGGAGAAGGGGAACCGUGGGUGGGUGUGCAUGAUUUUAUAUAGGAGGGAUCUUUGGGUGGGUGCAAUUCCGCCAUGCACUUUAUUGAAUUCUCAAAUAAUUCUAAAAUUUGAGUUGUGAGUUUUGGUUGUUGGCGUGAUUCAAGGACGAACAUAAAUGUAGUUUUACAUAGUCUCAUCUACUCCCUUCGUCAUAGUUUAGAAGACAUAGUUAAACUUACGUGUAUUUCUACAAUAGACAAGAUAUAGGACGCAUUGCAUUUACUUCUAGCAAUUAAUUAGUAUUUUGUUGAAUUACUUGUAUAUACAUGCAUAGUAUAAAUGCUAUUUUUCAUUCAAUCUUACAGUCAAACAAUAACCAUCUAGGUUCGAGAGAAUUUUUAAGCACGCAUUCUAAACCGUGACGAAGGGGUACCUCCUGUGUAAUGCAAAACCCCUUCCUCCUUUUUCGGGUUUUUUUGGUCAUUUGCGAAGGUCAUCCUCCUCUCUCACACUCCCUGAUUGUUCGUGUUGAUUGGGAUUAGGAAAGAGGAACCUGCAUAUUUCCGGUGACUUGUAAGCAGCAACAAGAUAUUGCAAAUUUCAAAAUUCUAAUUUUCUAGCCAUCCACGUGAUCACAGAUGUCGUACCUUGUUCCAUGCCUUGGUUUGCAUAUUUUUUCAUUCAAGCAGCAGUCUCCAUUUUCAUAUGUCAUGGUUUUGUGUGUGCUACUUUGACGCCUUGCUCUAGCAAUUAACAAGAUUGCUCUUAAUUUGGCACUUUUUUAGGAGAGAUAAAACUGCUUGGAAUACUGAUGUAAUAGCUUUACUUACUGUUAAAAAACCAAGUUAAAAUUUAUGAUGAUGAUAAUUUGAGAGGGCAAGAAGGUGUACCCAAUUUACCUAAUGUACCUAAUAUAAUUGUCGAUGGACAAGAGCGAACAACUUUUAGAUUUUAUAUUUACGAUCCCGCCUUUUGAUACUCUAGAUCACAUUUUUACAACAUGGAUUAUAAUGAGCAGAGAAUGUUUUGGCAAGAAAAUAGUAUUAUGAAAACUCAUAUGUUUAUGUGGCGUUAGGGCCCCUUCGUGUUACCUUGCCCCGGGCCUGAAAUCUUAGGAACGGCCCUGACCAUGAGGUCAUAGGUUAAGACAUGAAAACAUCCUCUUAUAGAAAUGCAUGGAAAGUUUCAAACAAAAAGUGGUCAAACACUUCCUGUGACCCCUUCUCGGACUAUGCGCGAGCGAGAGCUGUGUGCAUCGGGUUGUCCAUUUUUUGUGCACGUUUCUGAAAUUCGGGAAAAAAAAAUGAACUCAUGAACAUGUUUUCCUUAAAUUUGGAUCAUUGUAUGGGUCAUAAAAAAAAUUCAAGUUCAUGAAUUGGUUUUCAAAUUGGUAAUCAUCUUGAAACCCCAAACAUUUUUAAAGGAGCAACAAGGAGAAAAGGUGGAAAAAACACACGUGAGCCCCACCUCACAAUGAGCCAGCCUCAAACCCAAAGGGUGCCCUCGAUUGGGCAUUUGACAUGACAACGCUCGUUCGGGUGAUUUUUUUCGAUCCAUACAGCCAUUUAGCUUUUUUUUUUCUUACUUAUUUGUUCCUUUUAUUUCGGUUUUCUCUGUUUUUUCAUGGUUUUCUUUAGAGCCCGUUCGGCAACACUCCAGCUCCUGGCUCCGCAACCGGAGCGAGCGAAGCUGUCCCGAAUGGCCUCGCUCCGUGGAUCUGUCAGGAUGGAGCGCUCCUGGAAUGAGGCCCAAAUUGCAGAGCGAGCCUGGGCUGACUCCGCGAAAACUGAAAAUCAGGAGCGACAAAAUAUUACGCCUGGAUGCCACCGACAAGUUAUAGCGAACAUGUACCAGCAGGUACCGAUAAGGACCGUGCCAUCUUCCCACAUCCUCCAAUGGGUGAGCUUAUUUAUUAAUUCCAUCUGAUGUUAUGUAUUCUAAAUUUGUAUGCACUAUUCACUUUGUUUUAUUUUGUGUAGGCAAGUACUACCUUGUAGAUGCAGGUUAUCCGAACAGAUUAGGAUAUCUCGCACCAUAUAAAGGAGAAAGGUAUCAUGUUCCUGAAUUCCACAGAGGUGUAGCACCGACCAUUUCAAAGGAGAAGUUCAACAAGAUCCACUCGUCCAAGCGCAAUUGCAUAGAGAGAACCUUUGAAGUGUGGAAGAUGAAAUGACAAAUUCUUCUCAAGAUGCCAUCAUACUCAAUUGAAGCCCAAAAGAUCAUCGUUGUCGCUACUAUGACAUUGCACAAUUAUGUCCGCGCACAUGGAGAGGAUGUCCAUUUUGCUCGAUGUGAUAGGGACCCAAAUUAUGUGCCAACAAUUCCGGAACGCUAUAAGCGGUAUGCAGCCCCAUCGGGUGCAUCCGAUUCAUCAACUAGUGAGACGAGUGGCCGUGAUAUGGAUGAAAUUAGGGAUCAACUAGCUACAGCCAUCGCAUAUUAGCGAUAGGUGGUUGCGACAUGGAUGAUAUUUAGAUUUGCAAACAUACUCGUUCAUUUGUGAUCCAAAUUGUGUUAUAUGUAUUCAAAUUUGUCUAAUAAAUGCACGCAUAUUAGUACAUAUAUUUCUGAAAAAGCAACCUAAAAAGCAGGCAAUUGUGGUUGAUAUGUAUAUAAAACGGACAAAAAAGUAUUGAAAAAAGGAACAGUAUAUAUAAACACUAACCAGCUGUAGCCCAGCAAUCCAUUCUGCUGCUGUUUCCACUCUUACCAGGCUGCAUAAAGUCUCAAAACAAAAAACAAACGGGCUACAUCCACAUGGAAUGGGCUGGCAGCCCAACAAGCCACGAACUAGAGGAGCGGAUUGCUGAACAUUUCUACGCUCCUGUCUCGAGCGGUGGAGCGACUGCGUGGAGCGGAGCCACGAGCGGACUGUUGCCGAAUGGGUCCUUAGUUUAUAUUUCCACCAGGUUUUCACGGAUUUGCUGACUUCUUUCCUGGUUUUUUUUCGAUUUUCAGAAUUUAUUUCCUUUCUUUCUUUCUUUCUUUUGUAACUUUUGCCUUUUGUUUUAUUCAGUUUUUUUAUUUUGUGUAUACAUCAGGAAUAUUCUCUAUAUACACGUUUAAACUGUUACAAAUAUACAAUUAACAUUUUUGAAAACCUAUAUUUACAUAUGUCUACCUUUGUCAUAUAUACUACUGUAGAUUUUUCAUACACAUUACGAACAUUUUAUAUGAACGUUAACAUUCUGUAAAUACCUGACUAACAUUUUUGAAUCAUAAGUUAUUAUAUCUAUUCGUUCAUAUACAAUUUUUGUGUAGAGCAGGAGCAUUUUAUAUAUACACGAUAAAUAUUUCCCAAAUAUAUGAUUAUCAUGUUUAAACACAUCUUUACUUUUAUUCUAAUUUUUCUAUACAUUUUAGAUUUUUCUGUAUAUCUGCAACAUUUGUAUAUAGCCGUUUAACAUUCUACAAUCAAAUAAAUAAAAUUUCAGAAACUUAUAUAUAAUGUUUUCUCAUAUGUAUUGUAGAUUUUAUGUGUACAUCAGAAAAAUCUUUGUACACACGUGUAAUGUUUUUCAUGCACAUGAUUAACAUUUUUUUAACUUUUUAGAAAGUACUUUUUGUAACAUAAAUAUUUGGAGGUAUAAAUAAAAGUGAAAAAAAGGAAGGAAAAAAAAAGGUAAAGAAAAAUAAAUUAAAAAACGACCACUUUUGAUGCCUCAGGCCUCCCGCGCGUUGUGUUGUCCGGUCCCGCACUUGCUUCAGGUGAGACAGCCAUAUAUCUCAAACGUGACAUAUAAGUAAUUAAGGAGUACAUCUUUAAAAGAUCACUCUCACCUUCUCAAGUUGCGACAAGUGCCGCACUGGAUGUGCCACUUGUCGCAAUCUGAUAUUUUUUUUUCUUUUUUUUGAACAUCCGAAUUUUUAAAACAUUUUAUUUCCUGAACCGUGCCUUGAAAUCUCAACUGCUUUUACUGUUGUGUUUAUCGCAUCGAGAUCUUUAGAACAAAACCCCAUGUAUAUAGGUUUUGACGAACUUUUUUCACAAAAAAAUCCGGACCAAAAAAACCAUGCAUCUCGUGAUAGAAAAAAAACAAAAAAAAUGCAAUUUUUCCAUUUUCCCCUUUUCGAGAAGCACGACCGUGCCUCUCACAAAGGCCAAAACAUGCCUCUCGUAAAAUUAAAAUCAUGUCUCUUGCGAAAAAAAAAAAUUCUCCUUUCCGGGAGUCACGGAUGUGUCUCUCAUGAAGGCAAAAUCGUGUCUCUCGUGGCAACAAAAUUGUUCCUCUCGUGGAAGCAAAACAGUGUCUCUCAUAAAAAAAAAUAGAAAACGUAUUUUUUCUGUUUUCGAGUGACAGGACAGUGCCUCUCGUGAAGGCAAAAUCAUGCCUCUCACGGAAACAAACCGUGUCUCUCACGAAAAAACAAAAAACAUAUAUUUUUGGAGCAAAAACAUAUUUUGUCAUAAAAAACUAAGAAAGACUGGUGAACAACCGAAACACCAGAAAAUAAAUUAAAAAAGGCAAAAAUGUGUGUGAAUUUUUUUAAAAAAAUCCAGAGAAAGUGUUCAACGGCGACACGUGGUGGCGGUUGAAAAAGCGCCAAGUGGUAGCGCGUGGAAGUGUUCGCUCAGAGGCUGAAUAAGGAGUGUCAGCUAACUAAUUGCUCUACCUACCCGCCGCAUUUUGUGGCAUGGAGUCGCUCGCACGCACGGGGGGCAAUCCAACUGGACUGGCCCAGUUCUUUUUUGUCUCAAAAAAUCUUAUAAUUUCCUUUUUUCUGUUAUUUCUUGUUUUUUUUCUGGUUAUUUACCUUUUUCCGUUUUUGGUUUGUUUUUCCUUUUUUUCGAAUUUGAAGCAAAAAAUCAUUCUUUUAAUUUGAGGAAUACCUUUUAAAUUUAAAUAUUUUCUUGAAAAUUCGGAACAUUUUCUUUAAUUUUGUAAUUUGAAACAUUUUAAAAAUCAAUAAUAUUAUCCGAAUUUAAGAAUAUUUUUUGAACAAAAAAGUUGUCUAAAAAUUGAACAAAUUUUUGAUAUUUCGAACAUUCCCUGUAAAUACUAAACAUUUUAUUAAAUACUGAAGUUAUUUCUAAGGAACCAAACAUUCUUUUGAAGGUAUGAAUGUUUUGGGAAAAUGGAAACUAGUUAAAACAUAGAACAUUUUUCAAAGGCAAAUACAUUUUUCAAAUUGAAAGAACAAUUUUUCAGAAUCCUGAAUAUUUUUCUAUAAACCAUAAGAUUUUUUAAAUUUAUGAAGAACCUAAGAAAAUUUACAAUUUUUGGGAAUUUGGAAAAGUUUUAAAAGCAAAAAUAUUUUUAAAAAUUUAAGAUAAACACGAACGUUUUAAAAAGCAAAUCUUAUUUUGGAAUUUUUAAAAUUGGAAUUUGGAACAUCUUUGAAAAAUACGAACUUAGUUUAAAAGUCGAACAAAAUUUUGAUAUUUUUGUAAAUUUUUUGAAAAUACAUAACAUUUCCUUAUAGUACUGAAAAUUUAUUAAAAAUACCGAACAUUUUUGGAAAACUCCGACCAUUUUCAUAAAUAUGAAUGCUUUUCAAAAAGGCUACUAAUUGAAAAUUAGAACAUCUUCUUAAAAAGCAAAAACAUUUUUCAAAUCUAAAGAUGAAUUUUUGAACAUGAACUUAUUUAAAAAAGAUAAAAUAACUUUGGGAAAAAGGGAAUGAAGAGUAACAAAAAAGGAAAAAAAUGAUAAAAAGAAACAACAACAUAAAAAAAGGUAGAAAACAUGAAAAAUCGGUUGAGGGAACCUCCUACAAGGUUCCCAAAACUGAUGACUAAGCAUGUUGGUCUGACCCAAAUAUCGUUUUGGAGGUGUGCGAAGCCUCGACUCGCUCUCAUAGAAUGCGGCGAAUAGCAUAUAACAAUGACCCGCGGGGGAACACAAAACAUGGACUUCCAUAUCUCGCAUCUUUAACGAGGUGGGAGGAAUCCGUGAAUCUCUAAUUGAGGAGUAGAUUUUUUAAAGAUCACUCCCAACUCUCUAGGUUGCGACAAGUGGCGCAGUGCAUACGUGUCACUUGUCGCAACCUGGAAGUUAUCGUUUUUUUCGUAGAUCCAUUUUUUUAAUGUUUUAUCUCUUUAAAACAUGUGUUUGAAUCUUGAUCCGUUUUCACCGUUGGUUUCUUGCGUUGACAUCUUCAAAACUAGGUCCCAUGUCGAUAGGUUUUUACAAACUUUUUUAACAAUAGGACCAAAAAACCGUGCAUCUCGCGAUAGAAUAAAAUAGAAAAUGCAUUUUUUGUUUUUUUUUAUUUUUGAUAACCACGGGCGUGCAUCUCACGAGGGCAAAAAAACGUAGAUCUCGCGGAAAAACGUAUUGUUUUCCUUUCCAAAAGGCAUUAACGUGCCUCUCGCGAAAGAAAAAUCGUAGAAAAACUAACAGAAAAGGCAUUUUUUCCGAGAGGCACACCCAUGCCUCUCGCGGAAGUAAAACCGCGUCUUUGCAAAAAAAACAUGUUUUUUUUUUCAAUUUUCGAGAGGCACGACAAUGGCUCUCGUGAAGGCAAAACCGAAGAAAGUGCUUAGAGCGCGACACGUGGCGGCGGUAGAGAACAAGUCAAGUGGCCGCGCGUGGGAGUGCUUGCUCGAAGGCUCCCGAAGGAGCACUCGGUAACUAGCUGCUCUUAGGAACCCCUUGCUUAAGAGGGGGGACAUAGAUGGGCUGGCCCAAUAACAUGGGAGGUCAAGGAAUCCUUUUUUUCGUAUUGAUUCCCUCUUUUUUUACUUUUGUUUCUACUUUUAAACCUUUUAAAUGUGUAUACUGUAAAUUAACACUCUAUUGUAGUAUUUGAAAAAUGUUUUUUUUAAACAGGUUAAACUAGUAUUUCAAAAUUGUUGAAUAGGUAUUUAAAAAAAAUUGAAGAAGUAUUUUACAAAAUAUUGAUCAUCUACAUAACAAUGUUAAUCAAGAGUUUGAAAACAAAUGUUGAACAAUUAUUCUACCACCUAGGGGUAUUUACCCCCACAUGUAUCAUAUACUAUUAUGUGAUAGUAUAUACUAAUUUAUCAUUAUAACUAUGUUGAUAUACUUUAUAUAUAUAAGAUACUUUCAAGUGGGUUACACGAAAAAAUUCCAAUUUGGCCCAUGAUUCUUAUUACAUUUCGGAAAUAUGUAUAUAUUCUACGUAAAAAGAAGAAUACUCAAAAUAUGAGACAUGCUCUUUGAUUUAGUAAAAAGUACAUACAACAUAGAAAACUUAAGUGGUGAUAACAACCACCAGGUGCUAUUCGUCACCUUGGGUGAGAAAUAAUUAUUCUUCACUCCACUAUAUUUUAUCAUAAAUUCACCGUAUGUUAACAUUCCGUAAAUUUUUCUUGCUUCAUACCUAAAAAGAUAACCUAAGAAAAUAUUAUAUCACCGUAAAAAAUAUUUUACGCUACGUAAAAUUAUGAAUGUAAAAAACAUAGUGUAAAAUAUAAUAAAAUGCAUUUUUCUGGGCUUAUAACCUAUAUUAUUUUUUAUAUCAAAAUUUACAUAAUGAAUAAAUAUGCAUGUAACUAUUUAUAUACAAAAUCAAAUUUAUUUAUGAAACAAUCGUAAAAUUACCUUAAGCGAAGAAUAACUUAUUCUGCAUCAUGUAUGAUGAAUAGUAUUACUCUAUAUGUGUGUAUGUGUAUGUGCGUGUGUCUGUGUAUAUUACAAAAAACAAUCUCUAAAAACACAAUCGCAAAUAUUUUGAAUAAGUAGUAAUUUUUUUGAAAAGAAUUGGGAAAAUGUUAAAAAAUUAUUUGAAAAUGUUGAAUCAGUUUUAAAACUGAUGACUAAGUAUUUAAAAAAUGUUGAAUAAGUAUUUAAGGAAGUGGAAUGAGUAUAUGAAAAAUGUUGAAUAAGUACUCAAAAAUAACGGGAAAGAAUCUUAAAAAUGUUAGACAAAUAAUUGAAAAUUAUGAAUAAGUAUUAAAAUGACGAUACAUUAUGUGAAAAUGUUGACAUAGGUAUUAAAAAUGUUGAAUGAGUAUAUGAAAAAUGUUCAAAAAGUAUUUGAAAAUGGUGAAUAGUUAUUAAAAAUGAUUAACAAGUACUUGAAAAAAAAUUGAAUAGUUAUUAAAGUCUUGACCAAGUAUUAAAAAAAUGUUAUAGUAGCAUUCGGAUAAUGUUAAAAUGGUAUGCAAAAAAUGUCAAUCACUUGUUACAAAAAAUGUUUUUGACAUUUACAGAAAUGUAGAGUGAAUACAAAGACAAACAUAAAAAACAAAACCAAAAAUGGAGUUGAAAAAAGUAAACCAAACAAACAAAUGAAGAAAAAAAGGAAAUAGAAUUAAACAAAUUGAGAAAGGAAAAGGGGAAAAAGAAAUAACCAAAGAAAACCCAGUAAAAAUGAAGAAAAAGAAUGAAAACAAAGUAAACAUGGUAAAAUCUGAUUUAUUUUCCUCUAGUAGCCCACACUCCAUAUAAUAAUACAAAAAGUAAACAUGGUUGGUGGCGCUGGGAAGCAAGUAGUCGAUCCCCCACAAGCACCAUUCCACUCAGCUUUUUUUCAAAAAUAUGCAUCACGCUGGAUCAACCUGAUACUGUAGCAUUCUAUUUGAGCGCUGCCAGUUCGAUCGCUUAAGGCGAAAAUAGCUCUAGCGCACAAGCACUUCUCGUUUCAGAUUGUCCAUUCAGUGUAAAAUAAUCAUUGCACUACAUCAAAUAAAUUUUGAUAGAUUUAAAAAAAAUGUCCGGGUGUUUCAAGAUAUGUUUUAGCAUUUUAUAAAAUGUUAAUAAAAUAUAAAAUAAUGUCCCCUUUAUUUAGAAAAAAUGUUGUGUACCAUUCAAAAAACUUAUUAAGCAUUUUUUUAGAUGCUUGCAUGGUUUAAAAAAUGUUUUGAACCAUUCAAAAAAUGUUUUUGUAGCUCAAACAAAUGUUUCUUAACAUUCAAAAAAUAUUCAUGGUAUUUUUUAUAAACAUUAUAUCAUGUUAAGAAAACAUUUAUCUUAUUACAAUGUUUCAUGCCAUUUUAAAAAAUCAACUUGUAUUUUAAAUGUAUAAAAUUUAUUCAAUGAAAAUGUCGCAACAUGUUUUUUCAAAAAAAAUCUUGUGUUCUAAAAGUGUUUAAUGUGUAUAAAAAUUGUUAUGCAUGUAUACAAAAAAUGUACACCAUGUAUAGAAAUCAAGGUGUAUUUUGGGAAAACUAAAAUAUUAGUAAAAAAUAAAAAACAUAGAAUAGCGAAGAAUAUACACAAAAAAACGAAACCUAAAAGAAAAAACGAUGAAUCCCAACACAAAAACACAGACAGCAAAAAAAAUGCCUAGAGAUUUCUAAACCGGUCUGAACCAGUUAUAGAAGUUUCUUAAAAAUGACUCCUCGGAAACGCUCAUUGGACUGGCCCAUACACGAACACCAGGAGGGAAACUGAAGAUGAGACACAAGCUACCUUCACAAUGAGCAAUAAAUAACUCCCACGUGGAUUGUGCCGAGGGUGAAAAACACUAAUUGUGACCGCGCUAGGACAUCGGUGAUUUCAUGGACAGUGUGAAGUGUAGUUUUGGCUUUUAUAAAUGUUUAUAUAGCUCGUUUGGUCUGUAACGUCUUGACAGUGGAGGUCGUGUCAUAUGAAAUAAAAUUCCUACAACUCUACAUUGUCAUGUUGCGAUUAUGGUGGCCGAUGAAUCAAAGAGAUCAGGGAGAAAAUGGUGUUUUUGUUCCUCAAACAAAUUUAUUCGAUAUCAAUCCAAACAAUUGAUGUUCGAUGUUUCAACAUAUCUUAGAUGUGUGGCGGUGUCUACUUUUUUAGUAUGACCAAUGUUUCUUCAGAUUUGCUCUUCUGUGGUAUCGGUCUUAUUGCCUAACAACACAAUGACGGAGUAACACUUCACCAAAUAAUCCUACUGCGACGACGAACUAAGCCUAUCUUACAUGGUUUGAUUCCUUGUUGUGGAAUUAGCCACCCGGGUUCAAGUUUAAUACUUGACAUAGAUGCUCACAUAUUUUUAAUUAGAUAUAUUGGCCCAAUCUUUUAGGAGAUGCUUAUAGGGUAGGGUUCACGUACAUGUAUUCACAGGCGUGCGUGUUGUGAGCAUCUACAUAUGUAUUGUGGUUCUCAAAAUAAACAUUACAACAGGUGGGUUUCUGGCCUUAAAAUGUUUCUAGAGGGAAUGUACCCAAGAUCAAAAUGUUUUCAGUCGGCUUCCGUAGAUAAUGUUCUUUUGGCCAGAGUGUGUUCAACAUCUUAGCUUUCCACCUAUUAGGGUAUGCGAUUUAUACUACUACUUAUAAUAUUUGUGCUUAGUUCAGCUUGCUCAUCUUUGUAUUUCAUGGGUUAUUCACCUGUGACCAUAGGCGCGGAUGAAUGAAUGUCUAGAUGCAGAACGUGUUUGAGAAAAGGACUUCAAAGAGAUUUGCUGUAAAUUGCAUUUUUAUCAGUGAACUUCAUUGCCGUGUUUAUUUUGUUUUCUUAUCUGACGUACCUGAUCAUCAAUACAGUUAAAGUCGAAUCACUUAUCAAAGAAAAUUAUAUUUGAAAGGAUGGUCUAUGUCUUUGUCGAUUGAGACGUUACUGGUAUUUCUCAGUCAGAUUUGUAAUUUUGUUCGUAUAUACAAAUCUAAAGAAAAAUGAUUACCGUGUUAUAAAAGAAUAUCCAUCUAGCACAUUUCUUAAUGAUGGCUUUGUUGUUGAUUAAUUCAAUCUAUUUUACAAAUUGUGUUCAUAAAUACCUAAAAAAUAUGUCGGUGUUGUAAUAGUCUGUUCAUGUAGGUGCAAAAAAGGUACUAGUAUUUGUUCUUCAGUAUUGCUAAAGCACAUCUAGUUGUGCUCUAAGGCCAACUCCAACCGAUCCUCUAAAAAUAGAGAGAAUCCGGCAGAGUAAAUCAUUAGUGGAGUACUUUUAUUUUACUAAAUUUUGGUCGGUCCUAGCCGAUCCUCUAAAUAAAACGAAAUAGUUUUAUUAUUAUUUACAUUUCAAUUUGGUCGUCGAAACAAUUUUUAUUAAUUCUUAAUUACUUUUGAUACAUUGGUGCACAUAAUUCAUCAAUUCUUUGUUAUGAGAACAAAAUCAAAGAAAACAAGAGCCGCAAUUAGACAAUCUGAUAGAUAUCCAAUCUACAUAAAUAUUCUCACUAGUUGGAUUAAUUUUCUUCAUGUUUUCAUUGUUAAUUCUAUCUAUUGGCUUCUCGAGCUCGCAUACUUCUUAUUUUUCCGGUUCCGACUAAUACGGGUGGACAAGGACCGCGGCGGGGCUUACGGAGCGUUGUGCCGAACAAUGGGUGGGGGGGGGGGGGGNNNNNNNNNNNNNNNNNNNNNNNNNNNNNNNNNNNNNNNNNNNNNNNNNNNNNNNNNNNNNNNNNNNNNNNNNNNNNNNNNNNNNNNNNNNNNNNNNNNNNNNNNNNNNNNNNNNNNNNNNNNNNNNNNNNNNGUGGGAUGAGUGAGUCGGCAGCGGAGAGGAUUUUUUUUCAUUAGCGGUCGAGCGAAUAUAGGUGCGGGAUGGGCGACCGAGUAAAAAAAAUCCUUCACUAUUCGACUUAGGGGAUCGGCUAGGUGCUGGUUAGAGAGGUAAAAUCGGUUUUCUACCCCUCUAACGCGAGAUAGGGGAUCGGCUAGAGUUGGUAUAAGUAUCGCACGUCUAAAUUGAUCGAGCCAUUUAGAUGUGCAAUAUUAUGCUUUGUCUCAAAGGUGAGAAAGUGCCACUGCGUCGACUGACCGCCUGGGAACUUCUUCGGCGACCAGGAAUUAGCCACAAACAAAAGACAGAUAUUUGAAUUCCUACUAGGUGCCUAGACUUCUGUCAUUCUCAAAUCUCAAGUCUUGGUCAUUAUCCAAGAAUCCAAAACCAUGCCCUUGGUUAAAAAUCUACUACAGUUCCUUUUUGAGACCAUGACCGCCCCUUGCGAGGAGAAACGGGCCAGCCAUUGCUGCCCUGUCGACGCGCCAAGAAGAAGCAAGUGUAGAUGGGAUCGAACCACAUUCCACCUGUCUGGGAAUCCGCAUCUCGCUUCGGUUCUUGAGGCAGAUGCGCCCAUCUCAUCAUUUCUGCCCGCCAUUGAUGCCCAGCACAUGCUCCCUCCUCCCUUCUUUAUCACAGGUCCUCCUUCUACUGCCAUUUGUUGUCUGUGUAGCUGCCCGUUGCAAAAUACUACUCACUUCCUCCGUGAAAAAAUACUCCGUAUAAGAUUGUUUUUAGAUCACUAAAGUACGUCACCGGCCAAUUUGUCAACCGCGGAUCAAAAUGAUUAUUUACUGCAGGCCCGAGCUAGCCAAGCCAGAUCCCAGGGCAAGGAUUUCAUAAACCGCUGACAGCGAUCUCGAGCGUAGGAAAAUCUUCAGUGCUGCUUUUAAAUGUUACGACUUGGAGUAGUACUGUUAUUGCAGGCCCUGUCCAGAUCCAAGCUACUACUGUAUUAAACACUGACAGCGAUCUGUGAGCGUGAGAAGUGCUUUCAGGAAAAUGUAUCUUCAGUGCCGCCUUUAAAAUGUUAGGACUAACCAUUGACUCUGGGCUGCAGUUUUAACGGGUCUCACUAAGAUCGGAACGAGACAAGACUUGGGGGACCUUUCUGAAGAGCAUCAGUCAGUUUACACUUUACACUGGUUUUUCAGACCGUUGUAGAUAUACCAGCAGUGCUUGCUUCAACGGCAGUUUUGCAGAGUACCAGUGACGAUGAGUUUGUACUCGGAGUAAAAGAUGAUGAGGAGAAAAACGGCCGAUGUUUUCACACGCAGGUGGUUGUUUUGAUGGGAUUUUCUCCGGUCAAGGGUUUCUUCAGAGUGGGAACAAAGUACAGGCCGGCCUGCAUCUCAAGAUUUUCUUCUACUGCUUUGAUGUUUUUCUCAGGGUAGCACUGGUAAAUUUGUUCUUUCCCUGCGACUCUGACCAGGUAAAAACUGCACGCCGAAAGACCCACUCAACUGCGUAUCUGAACAUCGAUCGAUUUGUUCAAAGACAAGAACACAUGGACAAACUCAGUCUCGAGAUGUUAACAAAAGUUUAACAGCGUAAGAUGGCAAAAUACCUACCUUGUCCACAAAGACAAGAUGGAUACCCACUAGCUCCUACUUUCUUUCCGGCUUUCUUCAAGGACAAGUGUCUAAAGCUCUGAAACUUGUUUGGCUCCUAAAAAACGGCACAUGAUUAAACAAGCAUUGAACAACUCACUGGCACGACAACAGGGCAAUUCUUACGCAUUGAGUGAUCUUCAUUUUUCACCAGCCGACCAAGAAAUAAUAUUUACAUGCAUGCUUGAUAUAGGGUACUUGUCAGUGACAUAGGAGAGGAGAGGAGAGGAGAGGAGAAACCAAGUUGAUCAGCAAGAAGAGAACAGGGGAGGGGAGAAACACACGGAGCAGGAAGCUGAUUUAGCUUCCGGCCAGUCCCCUCUCCCGUAAUAAUAAACUGGUUGAUUAGUGGAUUCUUCGCUGUCUGAUCUUCGGAUCCGGUCCAAGAGCAGCUAGCAGAUCAACAGCAACGUUUCUCGAAUUCGCAGAAUCCAAGAACAAAAAUUUUGAUGUCCGGGGAAGGGAGGGAGGGAGGGAAGAGGAGGAGGAAUCGAUGGGGGUGGAGUGGAGGCUAGGCCUUGACGACGGCCAUCAUGCGCUUGAACUCCUCAAAGUUGACCAUGCCGUCGCCGUCGCUGUCGACGAGGCGUAUCAUGUCGCGGCACUCGGCGGCGGCGGGGCGGCCGCGCAGGCCCAGCGACCCCAGCACGGUGCCCAGCUCCUCGGCGGAGAUGAGCCCGUCCUUGUUGCCGUCGAACACGUCGAACGCCUCCUUGAGGUCCAUCUCCUCCCCCUCCUCGUCCUCCUCCUCCUCCCCGGCGCCGGCGCCGGCGCCGGCGGAGGGAGGGAGCAGCGAGGCCUUGCGCUUCUUGGGGAUGGAGUCGUAGAGCUCGCGGAACUCGUGGAUGUCGAUGAGGCCGUCGCUGUUGGCGUCGACGCGGGCCACCAUGGCGGCGGCCUCGGCGGCGGACACGGCGAUGCCNNNNNNNNNNNNNNNNNNNNNNNNNNNNNNNNNNNNNNNNNNNNNNNNNNNNNNNNNNNNNNNNNNNNNNNNNNNNNNNNNNNNNNNNNNNNNNNNNNNNNNNNNNNNNNNNNNNNNNNNNNNNNNNNNNNNNNNNNNNCGUCGCCGUCGUGGUCGAACGUCGAGAACACGAUCCCCAGGUCCGCCUCCCGGUCCGCCGGCGCCGGCCGCGCCUCCUCCACCGCCUUGCCGGCCUUCCCUCCCUCCUCCACCUUGCUGGCCUUCUUCUCCUGCUCGCCGCCGUCGCAGCACUUCUUGGCGCCGCGGGAGGAGGAGGCGAGGGAGAAGAGGGCGCAGAGGCCGCCGAGGAGGAAGAGCAGGAGCAGAGGCGCCAUGAAUGGACGCUAGCUGCUGGCUCUUUGCGGCUGCCGCUGUGCUGGCCUGCCUGCUGUGGAGGUGGUGGUGGGAGCGCGCGCGUUGGUUUGUCCGCGGGCGAGUGUGUGUGAAUGUGAAGGCAGACGACGCGCAGCGGGUAAUAUAUGAGGCGGGGGCGACGGCGACGACGACGGAGCGAGUAAAGAAGAGGGAGCAGCAGCAGAAGAAGAAGAAGAGUCGUGGAGUGGACGAGGGCAGCGGUUGGUUGGUUGGCUGGUUGGUUCAGUUGCUGCCCGAUCGUGCGACCUGGUAGUAGUAGAUCGUGGGUGGUUCAGAUGAUGCACGGGGCACGGAAAGUUCACACCUACAUCCCCACAAAAUACUUGUAUUAUUGUUCACUCCUUGCACCAAUGAACAAGGACCCCUUUGAUUCAAAGGAUUUUUUUACGAGGGAUUCAAAGGAUGUCUAAAAUAAUUCUUUUCUGAAUGCAGUACACACGCGAAUGCUCACAUAAGCACACGAUACUCUAGUGAGCAUCUCCGAGGUACCUAUAGCAAAUAAAACAUUUUGAGAUUGAGGAAGUCAUCAUAGACGCCUUCGUAAUCGAUGAAAACGUCACCUUUCGCUAAACUAACAUCGCAACAAAAACUAAAUGAAUUCAAAAAAAUACGAGCACCCGUGUCAAAUCUAAGGCUUCAUCUCUGAUGGGUUGGUUUCAUCUCAUGUGACCUAUUCAACUGAUAGUUUGCACCUCUAAAGGAAUUUUGAACCUUAUGUUUGUGUAAAACAAAUCAUGAGGAAUUUUGUUUCCAUAACAACUUUUGAUCUAUUCAUCAACUGAUGGCAAUAUAGAGAACACUAAAAGCAAAAGAAAUUACAACCAAAUUCUUAGAUCAUCGGAGACGACAAUAAUCAUUGGAGCGAGCCGAAGGCGCGCUACCGUCAUCACUCCUUCCUCGCAAACCUUGUGAUAAUAGAUGUUUGGAAAGUCAUUGUGGUAAAGCACACAUGACCCGUGCACUAGAAUAACAACCAUCGUCGAUGAAAAGAAAUAUGGAUAGAAAGGAUCCAGCUUAUAAACACACUAACACAAAUGAACAAGGACUAAAUCCAUGGAGAUCCACUCAAGACCAACACCGACCGAUUCCCAUAGGAUCCCUGAAGACAUACACACACACGCACGUGCGCGCGUGCACGCACGCACACGCACAUGCUACUACGAUGAGUCAACGACGCUCGAUGCACCUUUUGGGGCAGGGCCUUAUUACAUCUCAAGGGAGACGUCGUCGCCUCGCCUUCGUGAGCACGAUAGAUACCAUAAUCAACCUAAAAGACACCUAAAACGGAGCAGGAGCCCUCUGACCAGCAAAGACCAUGAUCUAUCGCGCCUACAUGGCCCUAAGGCCACAAGAGAUGAGUCAGACCAGCGUCGACGCCUGUGGGAGGCAGGAGGCCAUUGUUGCUUGGAAGUCGCGUGUCUCAAGGAGGAUGAAAUAGAAUGGAAGUAGUCAAUGACCACUUAUGAGGAGUGUUUGAUUCAUACGACCAUAAUUUAUAGGAAUUUAUCGCUGGAAUUCAUUUGUACUACUAACAUUUUCCCUACGAAAUUUUGGUCUACUUGAAGAAUCUUUUUUGUGUGCGCAUCCAACAUUAGCUAGAACAAAUGUUGGUGCCGGGAUACUCUCAAGUACAUAGUUCGUACAUAGAUUUAUUUUAAGUGCGCAAAUCAAACAUUAGCUUUUUAGAUUUUAUUGUGGGUCCACAUAUGCUCCACAAGAUCACAGAGUAGUUGCGCGUGCACACGAUGAUCUCGAAGAUUCUGAUGAAUGUGCAAAAAAUUGAUAAGCUGAUUUGCAUUUUGAUCUUCUCGGAAGUCGACUUGUUCUCCAGGCGCUUCAAAACCAUUGGUUUGGUCUACCUCAUCAUUCUCUUCCUCGACAAUUAUAUUGUGUAAAAUGACAUAACAUGUCAUCAACUGUCGCAAAUACUCUGAUUUUCACAUCAUUGUAUCUCCAUAAAUAAUUACCCCUACACAUCCUUCUAUAGUGAUUUCUACACUAUUGGAGAGUGGCGUUGUUUGUUGCCUUGGGGUUUGGAUAUGACCUUCACAAACGCCGUCCACUGAGGAUAGAUACAAUCAGCAAGAUAGUACCUCAUGUUAUACUUCAGUCCUUGACCGUGUAGUUGCACGACAACGGUUCUCCGUUGCAAAGUUGCCUGAACACGGGAGAUCCCUGAAGCACAUUGGCAUCGUUGUGAGAAUAAGGCAUUCUAAAGAAAGCAUGCCAAAUACGUAAGUCGUGUGACGUCACUGCUAUAAUAUGAUGAUUGCCUCUUUGGUGACCUUGGUACACUCCGUGUAGACUUUUGGGGCAGUUAUUCCAUUACCAUUUACCAAUACAUGCAAUCGAUUGAACCGAGUAUACAUGAAAAACAUCUUGCCUCUCUAAUUGUCAACAAUUGUGUCCUACAUAGCUGGUUUUCUCAGAUACUCUGCUCCAAACACCCGCACCACGACGCGGGCAAAGCUCACAGCGGUCUUGAGGCAUGUGAUGUCCCCCAUCCGAACCAUCUUACCAACAACAGUACCAAGUCCACGUAUCCUAGCACAGAAUGAAAGUUGUUUGCCACAAUCCCCCGUGAUCUUUAGGUAGUCAUUUAUGUGCCUCCAUUCCCUCCACAACACGCAAAAACAAUGAUUUACGCAUACGGGAACAAUGGCGAAACCAUAAAUCAUCCAGGAAAGUCAGGUCCAAAACAAAGUAGUCCUUGUAGAACAGCCGUGCUUCAUAGACCCUAUAUUGGUUAAUAACUCUUCUCCCUCAGAUCGAGACCUUGAAGUUGAGAAUGUGCUCCACCUCCCGGUUCAUUUCUUGUUGGACGCUCAUGAGCAUGAUCAUUUUUUUACUUUUUUGUUCGAACCCGAUGAAUCAAAGAACUAUUUUUAAACCAUUUCAUCAAGCUCCGUCGGUCCGUACUGGUCAUCCGACGGACCAUCGGAAUCCAUCGGUCUGCCUAUGAAAAAAUCAUCAAAAAAUCUGGUCGAACAACGUGUCGAACACAUAGAAUGCAAGGUGUAGUCCAAAAGUUGCCGGAUGUACGACAGCGGCGUCCGAGCUGCCGACAAUGUCCGCGGCGACGGUAUGGAUGGGAGGACAGUUGUGCCAUUGUUGGCGGUGUUGAGGUUAUGAAUGGCGGCGGAGCUAGUAGACGGCGACACAGAGUAGGUAGAAGAGAGGAGAGGAGAGGAGCAAGUGAAAUUCGGUAGGUCGAAUGAGGGAUUUGGUGCGAUUUUUGUUAAGGUCAGGGUGUCAAGUCCGUCAUGACGGACGCGUCGGGUUGCACCCGGACCGUUUCAUAUCCGUGUCAGAUUUAGCCUAGAAACAAAGCGUGUUAGCCAGCUCAGCCUUUUAUAAGGCCGGUUUGAAACGUUGGUCCAAAUCACCGUAAUUUUAUCGGUCACUGGAUCGGACGGCCCGACCGUUCGAGGAAGAUUUGAAGCGUCCGGCAUGAGAAGUUGAGAAGUGGGGCGUCCACGGAAUUUAAGGUACUCCAACGGGCCUACCCGCGAAUGGCGUGACCCUGAAGGCAGAAGCAGGAGGAGGUGGUGGUGGGGCGGUAUUUAAAAGGGGGGCGCGGGAUCGGCCGAUCGGGGACGGGUUGGAAGCGCGUCGAUGCGUCGGUACCGCCACCCAAUGACGCGUGAGCCCCCCAUCAACAAACAAACGAGCCCCCAAUUAAAAAGAGAGCGCGUGCGAGGGAGGGAGCGGCGCCAACGGCACUGUCUGCCGAGAGACGUCGCUCACGCUGGCCGCAACGUAAGUGCUCACGCUUUUUUUCCCAUCAAAGCCAUAGCAGAUAGCAGCAGCGAUCGAGCGACAGCAGCAAGACGCGCGCGCGCACGCACUGGGUUAAUAACGGACAAACGUGGCGCGAUGCACAAAGCGCUCUCCAGCCAGAUGAGUGUUGUGGCUGGAUAGGUUACCCUGGUCGACAGGAACGAGACACGGACGGGCCCUGAGAAAGAAAGAACGACAAGAACAAGACGCUGUAAGGCAUGUACAACCACGGAGUACCUCUAAUCCGAUUCCUUAAAUGUAUGCGUGGAUGGUGGCAUCCGUUUCGAGCCCCUUAUAUAUUUUUCGUCCGACGCAAUUUUUAUUUUCGUUUCUAUUUGUUUGGUCAAUUGCAUGUGAUCGAUGGAAAUGAAG